rnacentral:rRNA from 1 species
GGGAUUGCCUUAGUAACUGCGAGUGAAGCGGCAAAAGCUCAGAUUUGAAACCUGCUAUCUUCGGUAGCCGGAUUGUAAUCUGGAGAGACAUCUUCUGGCGGGCAGCCAGUCUAAGUUCCUUGGAACAGGACGUCGGAGAGGGUGAGAAUCCCGUAUCUGGCUGGCCCGACCCGCCUUGUGAAGUGUCUUCGACGAGUCGAGUUGUUUGGGAAUGCAGCUCAAAAUGGGUGGUAAAUUUCAUCUAAAGCUAAAUAUUGGCGAGAGACCGAUAGCGCACAAGUAGAGUGAUCGAAAGAUGAAAAGCACUUUGAAAAGAGAGUCAAAAAGUACGUGAAAUUGUUGAAAGGGAAGCGCUUGAGACCAGACUCGGGCUUAGGUGAUCAGCGGUGCUUUUGCUCCGUGCACUCGCCUAUGCCCGGGCCAGCAUCGGUUGCGGCGGUGGGAUAAAGGUCUGGGGAAUGUGGCUCCUCCCGGGGAGUGUUAUAGCCUCAGGCGCAAUGCCACCUGCUGCGACCGAGGACCGCGCUUCGGCUAGGAUGCUGGCGUAAUGGUCUUCAGCGACCCGUCUUGAAACACGGACCAAGGAGUCUAACAUCUAUGCGAGUGUUCGGGUGUAAAACCCCUGCGCGUAAUGAAAGUGAACGGAGGUGGGAACCCUUCGCGGGGUGCACCAUCGACCGAUCCUGAUGUCUUCGGAUGGAUUUGAGUAGGAGCAUAGCUGUUGGGACCCGAAAGA